rnacentral:rRNA from 1 species
GAUGAACGCUGGCGGCGUGCCUAAUACAUGCAAGUCGAGCGAACGGACGAGAAGCUUGCUUCUCUGAUGUUAGCGGCGGACGGGUGAGUAACACGUGGAUAACCUACCUAUAAGACUGGGAUAACUACGGGAAACCGUAGCUAAUACCGGAUAAUAUUUUGAACCGCAUGGUUCAAAAGUGAAAGACGGUCUUGCUGUCACUUAUAGAUGGAUCCGCGCUGCAUUAGCUAGUUGGUAAGGUAACGGCUUACCAAGGCAACGAUGCAUAGCCGACCUGAGAGGGUGAUCGGCACAACUGGAACUGAGACACGGUCCAGACCCCUACGGGGGGAAGGAGUGGGAAACUUUCCGAAAUGGGGGAAAGCCGGACGGAGCAACGCCGCGUGAGUGAGGAAGGUUUUCGGAUCGUAAAACUCUUUUAUUAGGGAAAAAAAUAUGUGUAAGUAACGGUGCACAUCUUGACGGUACCUAAUCAAAAAGCCACGGCUAACUACGU